CUGAAUGCUGAGACCAUCUAUAGCUGUGAAAACGUAUUUAUUAUUCACUUUAAUAAAUACUUACAUACAUAGACUACAAAAAGAAGGAAUAAAAAUCAACAAUAUUUACCAAAAUACACACGAUUGAUCUGAUAUUUUAAUUUGAUACAAAUGUUAAUUUAAGAAAUAAAACUGGUUGCCAAUAAAUUCUUUACCAGCAUAUAAUAUAGCAAUGCUCUCCCAGUAAAACGUAUGUCCCCAUCGGGAUUCGAACCCAAGACCUUCUGAUUACCGUUCGGAUACUCUACAAACUGAGCUAUGAGGCCAAGUGGAAUUCACACUUGGGUUUUCUCAUUAGGACACGUUUUUUUCUCAGCGUAUUGCGUAAUAUGCAAUGAAUAAUAGUAAAUCACAUGAAAGUAUUGUAAGGAUACCCUUCCACUGGUGUUAAUUAACGAUGAUAAAUAAAUAAAUUUUAAUUAGUAAUUAACAAAUUCUUAAGUUAGAUGGUCAAGUUUAACACUGAAUAUUAUUACAAAAUAACAAGUGUUUUCAUGUAGGAUGAUGGAGUGAUAGUGACAGACUACAGAUAGCUGAUUUUUGAUGAUUUUUUUCGAGUUUGUGGCCAACCAAACUAUUUUUGAGACCCACUGAUGGGUCGUGACCCACAGUAUGUGGAACGUUGCUGGGUAAGAUACAAGUUAAUAAGCUGUUCUAUUUAAAAAAAUAAAUUGACUAGGAAAAAAAAUUGUCAUAAACCAGCCUUUCAUGAACAUAUGAUUUCAUUUACAGUGAUAGAUUUUGAAUUACAUAUUGCUUGUAAAUGGUUUAAAUAAUUUUUUAAACAGGAAAAUAAUUUCAUCAUUCAAAGCUUUGCUUCCAGUAAACUAAUAAGUAUUCUCUAAAUAAUUGACAUACUUAAACUCAUAACUUCUACUCUUUAGCUACUGGGCGCUUUAGAUACAGAGA